rnacentral:rRNA from 1 species
GACGAACGCUGGCGGCGUGCCUAAUACAUGCAAGUCGAACGCAUUUUCUUUCACCGUAUCUUGCUACACCGAAAGAAAAUGGGUGGCGAACGGGUGAGUAACACGUGUGUAACUUGCCCAUCAGCGGGGGAGAACACUUGGAACCAGUUCCUCAUACCGCAUAAUUCCAUUUACCGCAUGGUUUAUAGAUUAAAGGCGCUUUUGCGUCACUGAUGGAUUUACCCGCGGUGCAUUUUCUAGUUUGUGGGGUAAAGGCCUACCAAGGCUGCGAUGCAUAGCCGGCUUGAGAGGGAGGACCACCAACACGGGACCGGGAAAAGGCCCAGAACUCCUAGGGAAGGCGCAAUAGGGGAUCAUUGGCAAUGGAGGCAAGGCUGAACGCGCAACGCCGCGUGAGGGAAGAAGGGCUUCGGGUUGUAAAACUCUUUUGUUAGAGAAGAAAAAGGAGGAGAUUGGAAAGUUGCUCCCUUGACGGUACCUAACCAGAAAGCCACGGCUAACUACGUG